UAACAAACGUUAUUGGUAGGCCUAGCAACCUAUACUGUUUUUUUUUCAUCGUGAUCUAGUGUUGUUGCUUUACGCUGUUGCUGACCACAAUCAGUAUCAGCUAUCUUCUCUGGAGAAAAUGACAUGAUUAAAUAUGUUGCUCAAGACAUUGGCGUUAUGCUCGAACAAGAACACUACCUCCAUAGCGCUGUUGGAGACAUGGAUCAUUCCACGGAGCCCAAACAUCCUUGCCACGUUCAGAACAAGGCUCUAUCCAACGAACUGUGAUCUCCGGCACACUGUUAUUCAAAAGUCAAACAAUAUUUUAUCCUAUUCUUUAUGGUAAUAAAAAAUCUCUUGUUUGUCUGAAAAAGAUCUACCAUGGAAAAA